GCCCAAAGCAAACACGAAACCCCUUUCAAUUCUCUGUUCUCAACCCUUACUAUUCAUCCUCUCUACGACUCUACUUCAUCCUAAAUUCGCAUUGAGGUUUAGAGCGUCAUGAAUGUCAUAAUCAGAUCUUGGUUCUCCUUGCACUGCUCAUAUGCUUGCUGAAUAUCUCUAUUCACCUUUAAUGGCAUUCAAUUUCAUCUCUUUCGAUCUUUGUCGAUAAUAUUCAGGAACUUGAAUUUCAUUCCAAGUUGGACUAAUUUAUAACCUUUAUGGGUAUGUCUCUGGAUGAUUGUAUUGUUUUCUAAAAUUGGACUCUCAUAUCAUGCUUUUGCUUUUAUAAUAUGUUCCAAAUUCCAAUCAGAGUGAAAUGUUUCAAAUUCCAAUCAGGAAGACAGUACAUGAAUAUAAAAUGGUCCUAAAACCAUAUUGCAACUUUGGUAGAGAUGUUAUGAAGGGCUCUUAAAUCUUCAAAAGUUAUUUCAUUGGCAAUUGGACUAAGAGGGACUAUAUUUUGGGAACUUUAUACAUAUGCAUAAAGCUAUUUUUUAAAAUUAAUAAAAUUAGUGUAAUGGUUUUGCUUUUGCUACAUAGCUUAUUAUUAAACUUAAUAGGUAAUUAGGGAGUAUUAAUAACUGGACAAAAGAGGUCAGUGGAUGCUUAAGUAAGAAAAUUCGACAAAUAUUAUGCCUUGAAUUGAUUUGGUGCACUGGUUGAGCAAGUAUUGUUUAUUGUAGCGUCUGAUGUAUGCUCAUUAUUUGAUAAGUUCUUGUAUUUUAUUGCUGUUAUUCUUAAUUAUUUGUGGUUGUGGUAGAUGGGAAAAGGAGUACGUAACUAGGUGGGGUGUGAGAUAUGACUAAUUUUCCCAAGCCAAAACGCUUUCCUUUAAGAAAGGGGUGGCGUCUUACAGUCUUACUCCAUGUAAGAGGUUACUUAUUCUUGUAAAUGAAUUAUCUUUAGUCUCUCUACACUUAAGGUGAUUUAUUCUAAUAAAGAUGAGUACUUAUUAUGUGUAUAAAAUUUGGCUUAGGUGACAUUUAGCUUCAGUAGCUGUUGCUUUUAUUAUGAAAUAUUCAUUCUUAGGUUUUAUAUCAUAGUAUCAAUAUCCAUGAUUGAGUUUUUUUGUUUAUGUAUGAUCUUAAUUUAAUAUUCCACUCUGUUAGCUCAGAUUUGAGGCUGGAACACUAGCUAUUUGUGAAGCCAUUGAGAUUAAGAGCAGCUAUUAACUAUUUAUUUAGAAUCGGCAUUACACGAUUGGAAAAGGCAAUGUAGGUGCAACAAGAGAAUAGGUCGGAACACUUGAGCAUUAAAACAAGCGACUAUAUAUAAGGCCAUCAUCUAUCUAUCUAUUUUGGUUUUUAGUCUUAUAUUAGUGAUGUAUUUAUUUAGGGACAAGCUACUAUAAUAUGCGACGUUUUAUUUUAUUUUUAAUUUUUAG